CAGGCUUAACACAUGCAAGUCGAGGGGCAGCAUGGUCUUAGCUUGCUAAGACUGAUGGCGACCGGCGCACGGGUGAGUAACACGUAUCCAACCUGCCGUCUACUCUUGGACAGCCUUCUGAAAGGAAGAUUAAUACAAGAUGGCAUCAUGAGUCCGCAUGUUCACAUGAUUAAAGGUAUUCCGGUAGACGAUGGGGAUGCGUUCCAUUAGAUAGUAGGCGGGGUAACGGCCCACCUAGUCUUCGAUGGAUAGGGGUUCUGAGAGGAAGGUCCCCCACAUUGGAACUGAGACACGGUCCAAACUCCUACGGGAGGCAGCAGUGAGGAAUAUUGGUCAAUGGGCGAGAGCCUGAACCAGCCAAGUAGCGUGAAGGAUGACUGCCCUAUGGGUUGUAAACUUCUUUUAUAAAGGAAUAAAGUCGGGUAUGCAUACCCGUUUGCAUGUACUUUAUGAAUAAGGAUCGGCUAACUCCGUGCCAGCAGCCGCGGUAAUACGGAGGAUCCGAGCGUUAUCCGGAUUUAUUGGGUUUAAAGGGAGCGUAGAUGGAUGUUUAAGUCAGUUGUGAAAGUUUGCGGCUCAACCGUAAAAUUGCAGUUGAUACUGGAUAUCUUGAGUGCAGUUGAGGCAGGCGGAAUUCGUGGUGUAGCGGUGAAAUGCUUAGAUAUCACGAAGAACUCCGAUUGCGAAGGCAGCCUGCUAAGCUGCAACUGACAUUGAGGCUCGAAAGUGUGGGUAUCAAACAGGAUUAGAUACCCUGGUAGUCCACACGGUAAACGAUGAAUACUCGCUGUUUGCGAUAUACGGCAAGCGGCCAAGCGAAAGCGUUAAGUAUUCCACCUGGGGAGUACGCCGGCAACGGUGAAACUCAAAGGAAUUGACGGGGGCCCGCACAAGCGGAGGAACAUGUGGUUUAAUUCGAUGAUACGCGAGGAACCUUACCCGGGCUUAAAUUGCAGAUGAAUUACGGUGAAAGCCGUAAGCCGCAAGGCAUCUGUGAAGGUGCUGCAUGGUUGUCGUCAGCUCGUGCCGUGAGGUGUCGGCUUAAGUGCCAUAACGAGCGCAACCCUUGUUGUCAGUUACUAACAGGUUCCGCUGAGGACUCUGACAAGACUGCCAUCGUAAGAUGUGAGGAAGGUGGGGAUGACGUCAAAUCAGCACGGCCCUUACGUCCGGGGCUACACACGUGUUACAAUGGGGGGUACAGAGGGCCGCUACCACGCGAGUGGAUGCCAAUCCCAAAAACCUCUCUCAGUUCGGACUGGAGUCUGCAACCCGACUCCACGAAGCUGGAUUCGCUAGUAAUCGCGCAUCAGCCACGGCGCGGUGAAUACGUUCCCGGGCCUUGUACACACCGCCCGUCAAGCCAUGGGAGCCGGGGGUACCUGAAGUGCGUAACCGCGAGGAGCGCCCUAGGGUAAAACUGGUGACUGGGGCUAA
rnacentral:rRNA from 1 species